UCAAACAGAACUAUGUAAAGUAAGCAAGCUCAAGACCUAUCAAUAUUCUUUGUUCUACCCAUAAACUGAAAACUAUAGAAAUUCCUGACAAGAAACAGGAAUUUACCAUGGGUUUUAACAAGUUGUUCCAGCUAAAACAGAACGAGACAAAAAGUUUGUGCUAGAGGCAGCUGAGAAGCAAGCAGAACUGAUAGACCCCUUGGAAUAGGGCUCACCACUAAAGUCCCCUCAAAGAGGUUCAUAUUCACAGAAAUGAUUAGAGCUGGAUCCAAUGGAGUGGUCUUUCCUGGUUGCUGUAUUUCAAGGAGCACAAAUCUCCUUCAGCAUGAAAUCUCCUUCAACAUGAACUUCAACAUGAAUACACAUAAUCAUCAGGAAACUGGGUGACAGUCACCACUCUGAAUAAUCAUUGUCAUCCUGCUUGUGUUUCUAUUUCUCACUGGAGUUUUAGUUAAAUUCUUAAGCAGUUUCA